rfam:Schistosoma curassoni strain Dakar, Senegal genome assembly, scaffold: SCTD_scaffold0004720
GUUCAGCUGACGAGUCCAAAGCUGAGACGAAACACGUGUCCUGGAU